GGGGUGGGUGUACCCGGAAAGUGGUGUUUACACGUCCCGUCCAUGAGUAAUCUGCGCACUUUCCCUCAUAGUUCCUCCUCGUUUU
ensembl:ncRNA sbRNA:1 stem-bulge RNA 1